GUCCCCUACGGGGGGCAGCAGUGAGGAAUAUUGGUCAAUGGUCGGGAGACUGAACCAGCCAAGCCGCGUGAGGGAGGAAGGUACAGAGUAUCGUAAACCUCUUUUGUCAGGGAACAAAGGCGGGGACGUGUCCCCGGAUGAGUGUACCUGAAGAAAAAGCAUCGGCUAACUCCGUGCCAGCAGCCGCGGUAAUACGGAGGAUGCGAGCGUUAUCCGGAUUUAUUGGGUUUAAAGGGUGCGUAGGCGGUAUUUUAAGUUAGUGGUAAAACGUCGGGGCUUCACCUUGAUUGGCCAUUAAAACUGGA
rnacentral:rRNA from 1 species